rnacentral:rRNA from 1 species
CUACGGGAUGCUCCAGUGAGGAAUUUUGCGCAAUGGGGGAAACCCUGACGCAGCAACGCCGCGUGAGCGAAGAAGGCCCUCGGGUCGUAAAGCUCUGUCAAGUGGGAAAAAAAUUUUUUGAUCAAUAGUCAAAAGACUUGAUGGUACCACUGGAGGAAGCACCGGCUAACUCCGUGCCAGCAGCCGCGGUAAUACGGAGGGUGCGAGCGUUGUUCGGAUUUACUGGGCGUAAAGAGCGUGUAGGCGGUUUAGCAAGUCAGAUGUGAAAGCCCUGGGCUCAACCCGGGAAGUGCAUUUGAAACUGCUUCACUAGAGUAUGGGAGAGGAGAUUGGAAUUCCUGGUGUAGAGGUGAAAUUCGUAGAUAUCAGGAGGAACACCCGUGGCGAAGGCGAUUCUCUGGACCAAUACUGACGCUGAGACGCGAAAGCGUGGGGAGCAAACAGGAUUAGAUACCCGGGUAGUC